UAAAAUUUUGAUAUUUUCAAUUCUUAAAGUUUUAAAUUUUAAAUUUUAAAUUCUAAAUUCUAAAUUUAAAUUUUAACUUAUAAUAUUUAUUUCUAAUUUUGUAACUUCAAAUUUAAAAUUUUAAAUCUCUAAACUCUAUAAAAUUAAUUAAUUAAUUUUAUUAAUAAAAAUUUAACAUAUUAGAUUUAAUUUAAAUCACGUAAAAUAUCGUUGUAUAAAAAAAUACAUAAUUUAAAUUUCUUCAAAUUUUAAAAUUUUAAAUCUCUAAACUCUAUGAAAUUAAUUAAUUAAUUUUAUUAAUAAUAUGCGUAAUAAAUAG
rnacentral:lncRNA from 1 species